rnacentral:lncRNA from 1 species
GCCGGUAGUCUAAUAGGAAAUGCAGCACGAAGUUCCUGUUUGCAAAAGACAAGUUGAUGAAGCCGUGUCAGAGAAAAAUUAACCCUGCUGACAGAGUCUGAACACAGACAGAAAAAAGGUCAAAAGAAAGAGACUUGAUAAAUGACAAUCAUCGUCGUAUGUGUUUGCACAGAAGCUGCAAGGAUGACAGCACGAAAAUGCAGCCAAAAGACUCUGCCUUACCACGGUAUCACCCAUACAUCUUCUCGGAUUUUUCCUUGCCUCUACGACAAGGAAUUGAAAAGGUUUUUGUGUUAUUCGGGUGUUCAUAGUUCACAAUUAGCUAGUACUUAAAACAAUGCAAUUCAAGUUAAAAGUUUUAAAUUUGAUUAAAUAUAUAAAAGAAGCACUAAUAUUUUUUAUACUUAUAGUCAUAAAUAUUAAUAAUGUUUUUUUAUAAACUUAGUAAAUAAAAUUUCUGUAUCAUUUCAGACAAAGUUAUAUAGGACUAUAAGAUAAACCAACGCGUCGUGUGACAAUAAACCUGUAUAAACCUAGGUCUUUGGUCUUUAGUCUUGGCCCCCUUCCUCUCAUCUUCAUGCGUUGAGACCGCACGCUUCAAUCAUUUACUAAUGCUGGUUAUUUCGCAGUCAUCGUCGUUGUAGCCUCCUUUUGCUACAGCCUAAGUGGGAAGUUAUAUACCUUUUUGUUAUCUUUUUUUGUUGCCAUUGAGGUGCUCAAAUAUACAGAGACGGGUUAACAGGUUGUGUCCCCUAUAUAAGUUGUCUUCAUGUCUUCCUUUCCAACCACCACAUUUCUAAAUCCUUAUUUGGAGCGCGUGCGUGAGAAGAGGAAGCGACGCACAAACAUGCGUCGAGUCGAGUUGUGAGUGGUGACCAUCGUCUUCCAUGGCAGACCUAUGCCAUAGGGGAGGAUGGUGGGCCUGCAGGACAGGCGGGGUGUGGGCAGACGACACAACAACAUUCUCACCGCCAGCUAUGGGCGGCCGUCGAGGAUGCUUAGGAUUAGAGUUUGGCUUUGAGCUUUUGGGUUCUCCAAUGUCCCUAGCCCCAGAGGGUUGGCUAGGGACAGCGGCUAGCCUAAAGGCACAGGAAAAUUGUUAGGCAUUGAGGUAAGGUGGUGACGGAGUCACCGAUUGGGUGGUGAAGGAUAUAACUGGUGGGCAAGGUUGAUGGUGGGAUGUAACACCCAAAAUCUGGUUUUCAAGUUAUAGGAAUUUAAUUGAUUUAUUUAAAGGAUUUUUGUGAGCAUUUAAUCUAGAAAAUAAGUAAUUUUUGGUGAAAAAUAAAAUUUAUCAUAAGUUUAGUCAACUCGAUUGUGCAUUCAUGCUGGAGCAUAUUUUAUUUUAUGCUCGCUGAUUCUGGUUAGAAUUUAUUUUUGUGCACAAAAUUCUAUUUGGAAAAGUGUUUUGGAAAAGAAAACAAAAAAAAAACAAAAAGGGAGAAGACUGACCUGGUGGCUUUCGGCCAGCCCAGCGCCCUCAUUUCUUUUUCCCCCUGCGCGCGCGGCCCAGAAUCCCCCCCCCCCCGCGGCCCACCGGCGGCCAGCCAGCAGCGCAGGCGCGCUUCCCCUCUUCCUCCCACUGACACCCCGGGCCCGCGUGGCAGUGCCCUGUUUUUCUUCUCCGCGACGUCACCGAGCAGGACUCGGCCGGGGAUCAAUCCCGCCCGGAAACUCGGGAUUUCUUCGCCAACGCGAGCGCCAAGCUUCCUUUAAAGGCCAGGGACCUUCCCCCGCACCUCUUUUCACCCACCCGAGCGUUGUUUCUAAGCCCUAGUCGCCACAAUGCCGUGUUUGGAUCUCGCCGAGAGUCAAAUCCAUCGCCGUGCGCCGCAAGCCUUUCCCGUCACUCUUCGGCCCCAAUAGAGCACCUCCUUGAGUUCGCGGUGAGCUUCUCGCCCUCCCGGAGUUUUUCUUUCAAGUUUUGGUGGUCGGAAACAGGGAGUCGAAGAGCUCCGGUGAGCUCUGGGUGGCGCCCAUGGCGCGCCACCGCGUCGGGGCAGAGGAAGCCGCCCGGCCGCCGCCUGGCCCCUCCCUGGUGUCCUGGGAACCAUCCGAUCGAGAUCCGAGGGUUCAAAACAGAAGAUACCGUUUCGCCCUGCGUCUUUCUCUUAAGAGUCCCUGGAAGUUUCGCAAAUUGCUCCGCAGUCCUUGGCGCCUGAGACAGAUUCCGUUUUCCAAUUUUGAAAACGUAUUCCUGCCGGCUGAAACCUAAAUGCGCUUUUCAUUAUUUACAGUUUUGCCAUUGGGUUUAUUUUGCUCAUAAAAUAUUUAUUUUAACUCCAUUUUCGUCCAUUCAAAUUUUGUUAGAUUUGUAUUUACGAGCUCUACAUGUUAGUAGUAUUUAUUCACUAUUUUGAAACCUUUUAUUUCUGCAGUAGCAUUUAAUUAAUUAUUUCUCUAUAGGAAAUCUUAGAAAAUUCAUAACUUUACCGUUUUAAUUCCGAUUUCCAUGAACUUUACGUUUCUGUGAUCGUAGUGCUGCGUAGAAUUUUUUGGUAAACUUUUAUAUUUGUUUUACUACUGUUUGGUGUAAUGUUCUAAUUAUAGUUUGUUUGCUUCGUGUAUGAUUGUCUACAUUGGAUUGCGUGUUGUUGAUUGAUGUUUGGGAAUAGACGGUGAGCCGUACGUUGGUGAUCAAGACCAAGCCUUUGAGGACCAGCAGGCUCAGGAGAGCUUUGAGUAAGGCAAGUAUAACUUGGGAUCAUCCUUGUUACCUAUUCACUAUUAACUACACAAAUAUGUCAUAUGCAUGCUAUCACCUUGUCGACCUUAGCAAAAUCAUAGAUGAUUGUUACCUGGAUUCCUUGCUACCUAUUUGAUAUGCAUUUGGUGUAGAUGUGCUAGUGCUUGAUAUAAUCUAUGAUCUUGUAAGAUGAUUAAUAGCUAUGCAAUGAACAUAAAAGAAUGACAAAUAACUGUAUGAGAUCUUGUCUGUACGUGAUAAAUCAUGACUCAUGGGUAAAGAUGUACAACCUCUGCAGAGUGUAAAACUGGUAUACUAGCCGAGCUCACAGUCAGGAGCGGCCUUGGGGACAUCUACAUUAAGAUAAUGAGCUUAUUAUGUUAUUAUGAUCAUUUGAUUAUCGUUUAUGCUAUGAAUUAAUUAUGCUUACACUUGAUCAUGUGGUUAAUGGAUUACUUAUGCUACCUUGACAAUUGCUCAUUAAUUAUGAACAUGCUAUCCACUAAUAAAAGCUAAACGCAGUCAAACCAGUGUCAGCUAUUUGAGCCUCAUGAACCCCUGGUUAUACUUGUUGAGUACGAUAUGUGCUCACUCUUGCAAUUCCCUAACACCUCAGGAUAUGAUAAUGAAGAUGACUAGAAUGAGGACUACCGUUAUAAGUAUUAGGUUUGGAGUCAACCAGUCAACAGUGUCCCUGUGUGGAGCUUCCAUCGAGAGCGUUGUUUACUUUAUGAUAUCAUCUUUGUAUGAGACUAUGCGAUAUAUUAUAUUCCGUUAUGUAAUAAACAUUGCAAUGGUACAUUUGAGAUUUGUCUACUUAUAUGUGCGACUGUUUCUGGGGCACAUAUGAGUCUUUUAUGCAUCCUAUUUUGUUUUUAAAAUAUGGGUGUGACAUGGGAGCAAGGGAUGUCAGAGUUAGGAAGGGCAUGAUAGAAACGGCGAGGGUUGGAGGUAGGUGGCUCGGUGGGCGGUGUUGAUGCCACCAACCAUGGAGUGGCGGUGGGAGGCGGCGGUGGGAAAAGAAGAAGUGGCAGGAGGGAGGAGAUGCGAUGGGAGAAAGAAAUGUGCAUCUGUAUCCCAACUGAUGUCCACAUGUUGAGGAAGAGAUUCAUCCAAACUUGAUUAUGUGUUAGCGUAAAAGAUUAACCGAACACCAAAACACUCAAAUAAGUGCAUUGCAGUGAAAGGACCAUGACGACUAAAAGUGGGGGUGUGAAUUAGGCAACUUAAAAGCUAAUUCUAACUAUGGCCUCUAAUUUUCACCUUAGCAAAACCUAUGCAAGAAGGUAAUCUAUCUAACGUGCAACUACGAUUUUGCUAGGUGUGUUGCUAUCUCUACCGCAAAAUGAGUUAUACAACCUAGGUUUCAAUCCUAUCGACUAGUCUAUCAGCUAAGCUAGGAAACUAAAACAUAUGGCCAAGGUAGCAAUAAAAAUAUAGAAUGCAAAGAUGAGGUAGAGAUGCAAAUUCCUGUCGAUGACUUUGGUAUUCUUACCAAGGUAUCAGGAAUCUCACACUUUCCCUUUAGUCCUUGUUGGAGCCCCUCACAAUGAAGCCCUCACAAAGGGCCAAGCUCUCGGUCAGGUAACUCUGUGGAUAGUCUUAGGCCUUCCCCACAUGCAAGUGAGUCUCUAAUGUGCCUUUCGUCUUCACUAUCAAGCUUUCGGCCAAAAUGGCGCGGGCCUUGUUCCCUUUGGUACAUUUUGGCAGCCACACCACAAAUAUGGUUGGUGUGGUCUCACAAGACUACAAGCCCUGCUGAGAACAAACAUGGUGCACGCAAGCACCUUUGAUCAAGAGGUAUGCAAACCUCAUUAGGAACUAAGCCUAAGCCUAGAGCAAGCGCAUAAGCGUGGUAUAACUAGUCUAAGCAUUUCACAAAGCACCUACACAAAUCACCAUGUGCAUCACUAAGCAUUAUGCAAUUGGAGAGCACUAAAAUGGUGUAGCAACACCCCUCAUUUGGACAAUUUAAGGUUCUAUUUGAUAGCCCUAAGCAAAGAUAUGACCGUUGGGGACAAUAUCACCCUUUCGGUGGACUGUCGGACCAUACUUUUUUGAUGGACCAUCGGACCAUUAUGUCAGAGUCCAAUGCUUUAUGCAGGUUACUAUUGAAACUAGCCGCUGCAAUUCUGGGAGCAUCAGACCAAUAGGUAGGUGUCAGACCAUAUGGUGACUCUAUUAAGCUCAUUUCAAUGAGCGGCGGAUUGAUACAAUGAACUGUCAGAACAAUGGGAGUAUGCUUAUUAUGCCCAUUUGUGUUUAUGUCAUUCAAAAUCUGAAUCAUAUAAUUCCAAUAUUAUAUUACUCAUGAAUGUUUGGUCCAAUUUACAUAGUUUAUAUAUAUUUAUAUGAUUUUAUUUUUUUAUCUAUUUAAUUGAACUCGAUGGAUUGUUAGUCACUAAAAGUUCUUUAUUGUUGAACUAUCGGCCGUUACAAGUGUUGGGAAUAUGUCCUAGAGGAAAUCAUAAAGAUGAUGAUAUUACGAUUGUAUCCAUGACAUAUAUUAUGAGUUCGAUGAAUAUCCAUUGUAGACAAACUUGUAUUGAUUGACAAUUAUAUGAGUUGUUUGUGAAACUCUUUUACUUGUAUGGUUAUUCUAAAGGUGUCCUUGAUUAGAGUUUGCGUGAGGACACACAUGAAUAUUAGGUUAGCAAAUGUAUUAGUUGAUGACUAUGUUUCACAAGUCAUAGACAUAGAGAUGUCGUGGGCACAUGUAUGACAUGGGGCUGGACUGACCCAACAUGAGAUGUUCUUAUUAUCUCUUUAUACAUCAUGUAUGUUAUGUCCUUAAACCUGAGAUUGUCGUAUGUUCUCAAGAUGUGAAACGACCUACUUAGGGACUAUUAGACGCUCCUCCGUAAUAGGAUAGUUAUAAAGGUGGUCUUUGGGUUUGUCGGGAAACAUGCUGUGAGACAUAGAUGAUCAAGAUGGAACUUGCCCCUCUCUAUGUGAGAGAUAUAUCACUGGAUCACUCAAGUGAUUGGAUCAACAAAUGCAUGGCCGUGCUUGGGUUGAGUGUUAACCUACGAGUUGGACCAAAUAUCGUGUGGUAAGGGAAUAACGUGUAUGUGUAUGUAGUGGUUCGUCUAAUAUGAUCAUUGUGUGCGUAUAGGAGUUGUCACACCUUGCUAGAGGCCAUUGUCAAUUAUUGGGUGAGUAGGAGUACUCGACCUAUGUCUAUAUGUACGUGAACCCAUAGGAUCACACGCUUAAGGGGCUGGAAACUUAAUUUGGGUUCGACCCAAAUUAGACAAGGCUUAGGGUUUUCUAAUUGGGCCUUCAACUUGGGGCUGAUUGGAGGACGCCUAUAUAAGAGAGGGAGGGGCACAACUAGGGUUAUCUCACGCCAUUAGGCAGCCGCCGCCGCUCACCCACGCUCGCGCCUAUUGCUCCUCAUGGACCUAGCAGUCUGGAGGUGCAACGCUUCUUCCUCGCACGUGUGGGAUAUCUCAGAGGUGUUGUAUCUAGAGCACAAGGAGGAACCACGCGAGAGGGAUUGAUGUGGUGGAUGACCAUGUAACUGCACGACAUUGCUACUAUGCGCACAACUACAUCGAGUCGCUUCUGCUGUACCUUUGUGUCUAGUGGUAAUCCCGUGAUCUAUAACUGGCAGUUGAUCCUGUUUUAUGAGGUCGAAAUUUUUUGUUUUCUGGCUAGCGUAGCGUCCUCAUAAUCCAUUAGUGGUAUCAGAGCCGUUACUGUAUUGUUAUAGAUUUAAUUUGGUAUAUAUAGAGAUAUGUGCAGUUUUAGAUGAGUCUAUGAUCUUGGUUUAUGGUCUUACUGUGUUGGUAUUGCAACAAUCUACUUGUACCGGUCGGAAUUCCGCCAUUCGAGUUAAGUGAUACAUGUAAAUCUAGUAAUGGUGAGAUAGAGACCAAUCAUAUUGAUCUAAUUGAACCCUAGGUCAAGUGUCGAGCGCAUAUGAUGCACGGCGGUAGUAGAUGGGAUCUACUGCCAGGCGACGGAUUGCUAGAAAAAGUGUUGUUCGGUAAAAUAGCCAUAACUUUUGAUCUGUAACUCGGAUUGAGACGAUAUCUAAACAAAAAUCAUAGAGAAAAAAAUUUACAUUUGAUUCUCCAUGGUGAAACUGUGUUUGUUGAAAUUAGAAAUGCGAAAAAAGGCCGGGAAAAUAGAGUUUUUAGCCUUACAAGUUUAGACAUCGGAAUCGGUUAACUCUGUUUUGCAGGGAUUGAUGACUGUAUAGCCCUUAUGUGUAUGUGAUGCAUGUAUGUAAUAAAUUCAUGGCUUGCAUGUUAUGAUAAUGACAAUAUGGCUGGAGCCACAUAGAUAUUGUCCAUCUGAGGUAAUGGCCUGCGUGCUAAUCUGUGAUGAUCCUACCCGUGACUAUAUAAUUUUAAUUCAUUGCCUUGCGUUAGUGAUAGCUACUCUUGGUGGAAUCAUUACUAGAGGAUGGCAUACAUGGAUCAUGGAGAUGGAGAUCACCAUGAUGAACAAAUACAUAGAGAUAGAGAUCCUCAAAGUGAUAAUGGGCUAUACCAAGUCAUAUCUGUGUUAAUGUCGUUCUUACUAUGUUCUACUUUCGUAUGCGAUGAUGUUUUGUCUACAUGCGCGCGGUAGUGAAGUAGACCGAUCCCUCAACAAUGUUUAAGUUACAUGCUCCCCUAAACCUUGCACUGUCAUGUGUCUUGUACAAUCGGUGGUAGGUCUAUGAAAUUAGGGUGCCACUGGUUUUUCUUGGCUAGGAAGAUUCGUAUCGGAUACUUACUUCAGAAGGGUUGGUUUCUUGAACAAGGUCAUCCUAAUGGUUAGGGGCCUUGGAGCAUAAGUAGUUGGGCAACACAAGUAUAGAGAUGUCACCCCAACAACAAGAGUCAUAUAUGAUAUGAUUAGCAAGGAGUUGCUUACCGAUCUACCAUGUCUAUUAGCAGUGAUGCUAAAGCUCACUAUUACACUUGUUAGUUGUGGGUCUUGAAUCACUAAGUAUCAACCGAGGGAUAUUGAUUUUAGUGGGAGUAGAUUUUAUUUAAUAUUAUUUACUUUGUCUUGGAUACGUUGUCUUAGUAUUUUGCAUUACUUUUUUUGUAGAUUAAUGGCGCCCACCAAUCAAACAUUUACUUUGUGCUCAAUUCUUGAGAAAGAUAAGUUGAAUGGAACAAACUAUGCGGAUUGAAUCCACAACCUGAGAAUUGUUCUCAGGGCUGAGAAAAAGAAAGAGAUUCUAGACACCCCAUUACUAGAAGCACCUGCUGAUAAUGCACCUACUGUAGAGAAGAACACUUAUAAGAGAGCAUGUAAUGCUGAUCUUGAAGUGAGUGCCUCAUGCUUACUUGUAUGGAACCUGAGCUGUAGAUGCAAUUUGAAAAUAAUCAUGCAGCAUAUGAUAUAAGCAUAACACUUAAUGAUAUGUUCCAAGCUGAGGCUAGGACUGAAAGGUUUCAAGUUUCAAAAGCUUUUGUUGAAUGCAAGCUAGCAGAGGGUGCAACAGUUGGCCCACAUGUAAUCAAGAUGGUUGGUUACACUCAGAGGUUGGAGAAGUUGGGCUUCCCAAUUGGCCAAGAGUUGGCUACUAAUUUCAAUCUCUCGUCUCUUCCGUCCAGUUAUGGAAACUUCAUCUCGAACUACCAUAUGCAUGGGGCGGAGAAGGGCUUGAAUGAAUUGUGUGGCAUGCUGAAAACAAGAAAGGCUGACAUCAAGAAAAGUGCAGGUAGUAGCCAAGUGUUGGCUGUCCAAAACAAGCAUAACUUUAAGAGAAAGAAGGGCAACACUUGGAAGAAGAAAAAGGGUAAGGCUAAGGAUGAGAUCCAUACGCCAAACCCACCUGCACCCAAGGCUGGACUAGCUGAUGAUGAUGAGUGCUUUCAUUGUAAGGGGAAAGGUCACUAGAAGAGGAACUGCAAGUUGUACUUGGCAUCCUUGAAAAAAGAUGGCGGUAGUAAACGUACUCCCGCUGCUCAUACACUUGUUGUUUAUGUUACAGUUAUUUUCCUCGCUAACUCUUAUAUUAAUUCUUGGGUAUUUGAUAUCGGAUCGGUUGCUCAUAUUUGCAAUACGAUGCAGAGAAUGAUAAGAAGUAGAAGGGUUGAAAAGAGAGAAGUUGAUUUCUGCAUGGGCAAUAAUGCAGGAGUUGCUGCAUUGAACGUCGGGACGAUGCAACUCCAUCUACCAUCAGGAUUUAUUUUGGAAUUGAAUAAUUGUUAUUUUUUUCCUAGUUUAAGUCGAAACAUUGUGUCACCUUCAUGUUUGAUGAAGGAUGGUUAUUCAUUUGCGAGUAAAGAUAAUGGUUUUGUGAUCUCUAAGAAUGACAUAUUUGUGGCUUUUGCAUCCAUUGUGAAUGGGUUAUUUAUUUUAAAUCUUGAUGAUGCACCUAUCUGUAAUAUUAGUGCUAAAAGACCUCAGCUUAAUGAGUUAAGUCCUACCUAUAUGUGGCAUUGUCGUUUGGGUCAUAUAAGUGAGAAUCGCAUGAAGAGGCUCCAUGAUGAUGGGCUUUUAACUUCGUUUGAUUUUGAAUCAUGCGAGUCAUGUGAGUCUUGCUUACUAGGAAAGAUGACCAAGGCGCCUUUCAUAGUUUUCCUAAGAGAGCGUCUGACUUGUUGGAACUUAUACAUACUCAUGUGUGUGGACCAAUGAGCACGACAGCUAGAGGCGGGUUCCAAUACUUCAUAACUUUUAUUGAUGAUUUUAGUAGAAAUGGAUAUGUCUACUUAAUGAAACAUAAGUCUAAACAUUUGAAAAGUUCAAAGAAUUUUAGAAUGAAGUAGAUAAUCAUCAUGGCCAGAAAAUUAAGGCUUUGCGAUCCGAUCGUGGAGGCAAAUAUUUGAGUCACAAAUUUAGCAAUCAUCUAAAGAGUUGUGGAAUUGUUCCACAACUUACGCCACCUAGAACGCCUCAGAGGAAUGGCGUGUCCAAGCGACGUAAUCAAACUUUGUUAGACAUGGUUCGAUCUAUGAUGAGCCAGUCAGACCUACCUUUAUCAUUUUGGGGAUACGCUCUAAAAACAACCGCUUUCACUUUAAAUAGGGUACCAUCUAAGUCUGUAGUUAAGACACCAUAUGAGAUGUGGACUGGUAAGUGUCCUAGUUUGUCUUUUCUUAAAAUUUUGGGUUGUAAAGUUUAUGUCAAACGACUCAUAUCAGAUAAACUAACACCCAGAUCAGACAAGUGCUUUUUCAUGGGAUACCCAAAGGAAACUUUAGGUUAUUAUGUCUAUAACCGCAUAGAGGGCAAAGUGUUUGUUACUCAAAAUAGUGUUUUCUUAGAGAAAGAGUUUCUCAAAAGAGAGAAAAAUGGACAGAAGGUUUAUCUUGAAGAAGUUCAAGAUGAGCCAGUUGGGAAUAACUCUACGAGUGAUGCUAACAUAGUAGAACAAGUUGAGACACCUGUGGUAGUAGAAACACCGCCACAACCAUGAAGAUCAGCAAGACUUCACGAAUUGCAUGGGGAAUUGUUAUUGUUUGACGAUGAUGAACCUGCAAAUUAUGCAGAAGCAAUGAUGGACCUAGAUUCCGAGAAAUGACAAAGUGCCAUGAGAUCCGAGAUAGAUUCAUAAGAAAUAAUCAAGUUUGUAACUUGGUUGAUCCGCCUAAUGGGGUUAGACUCAUAGAGUGCAAAUGGAUCUAUAAGAAGAAAAAGGAUAUGGAUGGAAAUGUUCACAUCUAUAAAGCUCGACUUGCCGCAAAGGGUUUUAGAUAAGUUCAAGGAAUUGACUACGAUAAGACUUUCUCACCAGUAGCGAUGCUUAAAUCUAUCCGGAUCAUUCUAGUAAUCACUGCAUAUUUUGAUUAUGAGAUAUGGCAGAUGGAUGUUAAAACAACCUUUCUAAAUGGAAAUUUGGAAGAGGACGUGUAUAUGACACAACUUGAAGGUUUUGUUGAUUCUAAUAAUGCUGGAAAAAUAUGCAAGCUUAAGAAAUCCAUUUAUGGAUUAAAGCAAGCAUCUUAGAGUUGGAAUAUUUAUUUUGAUGAAGUGGUCAAAGGAUUUGGCUUUCGUCAGAAUGAAAAAGAACCAUGUGUUUACAAGAAGGAAAGUGGGAGCCCUAUUGUAUUUCUAAUCUUAUAUGUGGAUGACAUAUUAUUGAUUGGGAAUGACAUUCCAAUGUUGCAAUCAGUAAAGACUUCACUGAAUAAUAGUUUUUCUAUGAAGGAUUUAGGAGAAGCAGCAUACAUUUUGGGCAUUAAGAUCUAUAGUGAUAGGUCCAAAAAGGCUAAUAGGAUUAAGACAAGAUACAUACAUAGACAAGGUGUUGAAAUGGUUCAACAUGGAACAAUCUAAAAGAGGGUUUUUCCUAUGUCACAUGGUAUGAAUUUUAGCGAUAAGUAGUGUCCUUCAUCAGAUGAAGAGCGCAAAUGCAUGAGUAAGGUUCCAUAUGCUUCGGAAACUAGUUCCAUCAUGUAUUCCCUGAUAUGUACUCACCUAGAUGUCUCAUAUGCUCUAAGUGUUGCGAGCAGGUAUGAAACUAAUCUAGGUGAAAGUCACUAGACACUUGUUAAAACUAUUCUUAAGUACUUGAGAAGGGCUAAAGAUGUGUUUCUAAUCUAUGGAGGUGAGGAGGAGCUUGUUGUAAAUGGUUACACUGAUGCUAGCUUCCAAAUUGAAACUGAUGAUUCAUAAUCUCAAUUAGGUUUUGUGUUUAUGAUAAAUGGUGGUGCAGUAAGCUGGAAAAAUUCCAAGCAGACGACAGUGACCGAUUCUACAAUAGAGGCCGAGUACAUCGCAGCUUCUGAAUCUGCGAAGGAAGGUGUUUGGAUUAGGAGGUUCCUCAUUGAACUUGGUGUGUUUCUGAAUGUGUCGAUCCUAUUGAAUCUAUAUUGUGAUAGCAAUGGGGUGAUUGCGCAGGCUAAGGAGCCUAGGAAUCACCAAAAGAACAAACAUUCAAGAGUUCGUUAGGCGAGGUGAAAUUAAGACGUGCAAGAUGCAUACAUAUUUGAAUAUUGUAGAUCCUUUGACAAAGGCUCUUCCACAGCCUAAGGAUGAGGCACACUUGAGGUCUAUGGGUAUUAGAUAUCUUAGAGAUUAACUCUAGUGCAAGUGGGAGACUAUUGGGAAUAUGCCCUAGAGGUAAUCAUAGAGAUGAUGAUAUUACGAUUGUAUCCAUGACAUAUAUUAUGAGUUCGAUGAAUAUCCAUUAUAGACAAACUUGUAUUGAUUGACAAUUAUGUGAAUUGUUCGUGAAAAUCUUUUAGUUGUAUGAUUAUUCUAAAGUUGUCCCUGAUCAGAGUUUGUGUGAGGACACACAUGAAUAUUAGGUUAGCACAUGUAUUAGUUGAUGACUAUGUUUCACAAGUCAUAGACAUAGAGAUGUCAAACUAAUAAUGUGGGCACAUGUGUGACAUGGGGCUGGACUAUCCCAACAUGAUAUGUUUUUAUUAUCUCUAUACGUCAUGUAUGUUAUGUCCUUAGACCUGAGAUUGUCGUAUGUUCUCAAGAUGUGAAACGACCUACUUAGGGACUAUUAAACGCUACUCCGUAACAGGGUAGUAAUAAAGGUGGUCUUCGGGUUUGUCGAAAAACAUGAUGUGAGACAUAGAUGAUCAAGAUGGAACUUGCCCCUCUCUAUGUGAGAGAGAUAUCACUAGAUCACUCAAGUGAUUGGAUCAACAAAUGCAUGGCCGUGCUUGGGUUAAGUGUAAACCCACGAGUUGGACCAAAUAUCGUGUGGCAAGGGAAUAACAUGUAUGUGUAUAUAGUGGUUCAUCUAAUAUGAUCUUUGUGUGCGUAUAGGAGUUGUCAUGCCUUGCUAGAGGCCACUGUCAACUAUUUGGCGAGUAGUACUCAGCCCAUGUCUAUAUGUACGUGAACCCAUAGGGUCGCACGCUUAAGGGGCUGGAAGCCUAAUUCGGGUUGGACCCGAAUAGACAAGGCUUAGGGUUUUCUAAUUGGGCCUUCAACUCAGGGUUGAUUGGAGGACGUCUAUAUAAGAGAGAGGGGGUGCAGCCAGGGUUAUCUCACACCAUUAGGCAGCCGCCACCGCUCACCCAUGCUCACACCUAUUGCUCCUCGUGGACCUAGUAGUCCGGAGGCGCAAUGCUUCUUCCGCGCACGUGUGGGAUACCUCAAAGGUGCUGCAUCUAGAGCACAAGGACAAACCGCGCAAGAGGGAUUAACAUGGUGGAUGACCACGCAACUACACGACACUGCUACUAUGCGCACGACUACACCGAGUCGCUUCCGUUGCACCUACGUGUCUAGUGGUAAUCCCGUGAUCUAUAACUGGCAGUUGAUCCUAUUUUAUGAGGUCAAAAUUUAUUGUUUUCUGGCUAGUGCAACAUCCUCAUAAUCCAUCAACAAGUUCUAACAUGUUGUUAGUCACUAAAAGUCAAACUAUUUGUUGCUAAAUGAUAGAUCUGUCGCUAUUGUAACACCCUAACUCGUUAGAAGCUUGUAAUUGUUGUGAAGUUCACCCAUGUGGUAUAUGUGGAGCUAUAGUUGGUGGGUUUAGUACCACACCUUGAAAGUUUGGGAGGGUGAGAUAAUCCUUGUUAUUCCAAACAAAGUACCUCUAGGUUAACUCUUUUACACAAAGCGUGGACAAAAGUGUAAGUGAGGAUGAAAGUGUAAGCGAGGUGCUACGCGUAUGCAGGCCCAUUCCACAUGUGGUGCUAGGCUAUCUAAGUAGUUUUAGACAUGGGGUGUUACAACUAUUUACUUAUAGUGAUGCCUUUUGUCACAACAAUAGGGUUCCAUCUCUACAAUGAUUUAACAACUGACUAUCUAUCGCUAUACAUGUCUUUUAGAAACUCCAAAGCAGUCAUUGUUUUAAGUUUGUGGUGUAGCGACUGCACCUACUUUGCUAGUCCCUCCUCAUUUGUGUAGGCUUGUUUGUGGGAAGAUGGUCCCGCACCAUGCCCACGCAGGCUUGCCUCAGUCGACCGGUGGCAUCACCAUCAUGGAGCAUCUGAGGCUAUUUGUGCACUCUUGUGCUUCUAAGGUCCUAGAUGAGGCUGAUGGAGUUGUUCCUCAGAGUUGGUCCAUGGUGCCUGCCAUGAAGGUGAGCAUUCAUGGUGCACCGUUGAAAGGACCUAGACGGAUAGGGAGUUAAUAGCAUAUAAAAAUUCUCUUCAAACCAAAAACACUAGACCAAAGGUUGAUUAUUACAAUAAGAAGAAGCCCUAAUAGCAACUACUUGAUCUAGCUCUAUUUCACCCAAUACCAUUGUACAAUACUAGUAAGGAGCCACAUGCAUUCCACCGGAGUAUCCCUUUGCACUCCACAAGAUGGGAUCAAAACUUCUCACAAUAUCUACUGGUCAAAGGCAAAGAACAAACACUAAUCUUACUCGACAACACCAAGCUACUCGAAGCCGUCUAGGUGGUGGUAACCACCAAGGGUAACAAGAAAAUUGAAUCUCAAUCGAUCACUAGUGCCACUAGUUGGAGGAACCUAAUGCAAAUGCACUAAAAUCACUCUGAGACAAACUCCCACCAAAGGAGGACUACUCCGUCCCAUCCUCCUUCAUCCCUAGAACCAAACCCAUGCUUAGAGUGUUGAUGAGGAUGUAGUACAUAUGCAAUAUGCAUGUAUAGGACCAAUUCAAAGAUAUAGAGUAGCUGAUGAUGAGACACUUGACUCCACUACGAAUAAAAAAGAAACAAUAUGAGCUUCAAGGCUCAACACCUGUCACUCAUAUUCUUAUUGGACCUUGAAUGAUUUUUCGUGUCCUCACUCAUAUGCAUUAUCUUUUAUUAAUACCAGGGAUAUAUAGGUAGUUUAUGUUCAAAUUUAGGCAUUGUAAAAUUAUCUUUCAUUGUGUUUAGGUAGGUAGUAUAAAUCUUAUUUAAGGGUUUGUUUUAAAGUAUCUUUUGUAAUCAUAGACAUGGGUUAUUUAGAUGUAAAUUUUGAGGCUACUUUAUGUAUGUUCACAAUGGUAGAGAUGCAUGUUUUUUUCUAAAGAUGAUGAUUAGUCUGACAAAUGAUAGACAUGGUUAAUUUAAUUUACAUAUAAAUUUAGGGAUCGCUUUAUGUAUGUUUACAAUGGUGGAGACAUGUUUUUUCGGAUCAUGAUGAUUUGUCUACCGAAUUAAAGUCAAAAUUUUCUAAUUAUUGUAAGAAUUUUUUAGAAUAUAUAUUUUUCCUAGUGCGUCUCGUGAGGAAUAAUAUGGAACCUCUGUUAGAGGUCUCCAAUUAGCAUCAUAAAUAUUUUUCUGCAUGACAACUGUAAAAGAAGGAAAAGAUAAAGCAAACAGUGACGUACAUAACAUGGAACAAAAACAAGUGCAGAUAGUUGGACAAGCAUAGAACUUUCCUUAAUAUUACCAAUCAUUGUGAAGUACAUUAUUUAAGUUCAAAUGGCAUUGAGAGGAUUGCACAUAUUAUGCAUCAAUGGCUGGAUGGGCAAUGGGCCCGACACUCCUUAAACGUGUCAUAACAGAAAAAAAGGUUCUUUGGAUCGCAGCAGUAGACCACUUUUCCAUUUUGGAACCUCCUUUGAUCACAUUCUCCAUAUACUCUGAGGCUAGAAGCAUCUUGCCUCUUUGCAGUUCCAACAUGGAUAUCCUCGUGAGGACGACCUGAUAGAUUAUGUGUUCAUGAGGAUAUAGUGUAUAUAUGCAAAUCAAGAACCAAUUCAAAGAUAAAGAGUAGCUGCUGAUGAGGCACUUACAUUGCACGAGGAAUACAAAGAGAAGUAAUGUAAGUACCAAGGCUAUGGACUUGUCACUCAUGUUCAUGUUGGACUGUGAAUGGUCUGACCCUGUACUUACACUAUCAUGCCUUGGGUUGUUAAAUAUCAUAUAUAUACCCAGACCAACACCACAUGAGAAGACAUCAAUUUUAU